rnacentral:snRNA from 1 species
AUGACUAGUUAACAAUUAGGUA